rnacentral:lncRNA from 1 species
GCCCUUGUAAACAGUCCCAAACCCUCCUUCACCAAGAACGUAGUCAGCACGGAAGCUCCUUGUGAUAGUCUCGAGUUCAAACAAUGUGAAGUCAAUCACAUCAUUGUAUAUGGAGAUGUUCUUGGCAUCUUCAAUUUUCCUAGGUGUUGAAGGAUCACUCAUAUCUGAUGAGAUGCGGGUGUGCUUCCUCUCUGCAACAGCAUUCUUGACAGGAUGUUGUAACAAAUGGAGCUGCUGAACUGAGAAGAUGACAUUUCAACAAUAAGAAAGAAAAAAUAGUUAAGGUAUAAACGAAUUAAGGUUACCAGAAAUUCUCGUACAAACAAAAUAAAAGGCAAGCUUUUUUUUUCAUAUUGAAUUUUCAGCAUUCACAGAGAUGGAUGGAUGAAAGAGAGCUAAUCCUGCUGAAAUACGUUUAGGGAAGCUAUAAUCACAAACUAACAAGAGAACUACUGGAAACGAGCGUUGGCGAUUCCUAGCAAUUAUAAUAUGGUAUUCUACCUAAAAAUACUGUAAAAAAGUACAUACAUGGGCAAGUUGAUUACAGAAAGAGGUAAACAGGACCAGGAGACCAGAUCUACUGCAGAGUUGCAUGCAAUAAAAAAAGGGCUCCAAAUUGCUUAAACAAUGCAGCAAACUGCAAGAAGUGAUUAUGUUUUUCCAACUUGCAGGAUCAUAACUCUAUUUUCUGUUAAACUGAAAGUCAACAGUGCCUCAGUGAAGCAGAGAGCACAGAAAUUGCAGCACUAUUGGGGGAAGUGCCUGUAAAUUGUCCCGAUGAACAUAAUGAAGCAGAAUUUCUGAUACAGCAACCAAGAAGAUAAGGAUAUGCAGCAGAGAAGAAAUCACAGAGCAACCACACCAGAAAGAUUAAGGGGAUGAGGGCUUCCCCGCAAAAAAAGGAAAAAAAAAGAUGUUGAGCAAAUGUAGACUGUAAACCAAAAUCCCAGAAUCCCCAUAUGCAACAAACAGAAAAACAAUGUUGAACAUUCAUAUGCAACAAACAGAAAAACAAUGUUGAAGAUUUGGAGCAAAUGUUGAUAUCAGAUUUUAAUCAAACCUAAACCGGAGAGUACCAAAAUGCCGAUUUGGAAUAGCCCUAACAAGAAUGAACAUUUGCAACCAAAACACCCAUCCAAAGGUCCCAAUAACAUAAGUCAUCAUAUAUAGCAAAAAGGAAAGACAGUGCUUUUGUCAAUUCCCCACUGAACCCACCAACCUAGAGUCCUAGAGAUCAGGGGAACCCAGAAAUAACCACCAAGAUCAAUUUUUUUUGAUGAAAUUCAGAUCAUCCAACCCGAGAUCCCAUCCCAACAACCAGCAUCCCAAGAAAACAAUCACCGGGAAAUCCCCCAAGAAAUCAAAUCCGAGGAAGCGAAGAAUACCUUGGGCGUGCGCCGCAACGACGGCAUUCUCCUCUCGCGUCCCGCAGUUGCCCAUCUAUCUACUUCUCCUCCUGAUGUUCUUGAUGGUGGUGGGUCUGUCUCUAUCUCUUGUAGUGGAGGCCCAAGCUCUCAUUCUUGGGCGGGGGCGGGGUGGGGGCAGGCGAUGCCUAUGCCAUGCGCCGCCGGUAGAGGCGAUGCUGCGUGCUCUUCAUCCUCCAGUGGCCUGUGGGGGGGCAGCGGAAACGAAGCUUGCUUUGGUUUGGUUUGGUGUUGGUUUGCUUUGCUGUGUGCGCGUGGAAGUGGGAUGGACGGUGGUGGGAGAGCGAGAGGGGGGCAGCAACCGUUAACUGGAGGAGGAAGAGAAGAAAAGGCUGUGCUGGUGUGCGUGAGAUUGACAGACAGAGACAGAGAUAGAUGGGAGCAAGAGACUCUGCUCUCUGCUGCUGUUUGGUGUGGGUCUCCUUUAAAAAGCACUGCCAUUUCACUACACUAUGGAUUGGUUGGUUAAUCACCUUUUAAUACUAACCACAUAUUAACAAGUUUAAUAACCCAUAACGGAAUUGCUAAAUGGCUGUCGAAUGAUUUUUUGAGCUCAAAAUCAUGCAGAUUACUAACCAUGGGAUUUGCUCUGCGAUUCGUGCUCCGGCGACCUUAGCUCUUCUCCUCCAACUCCGGCGACACCUUCUCCAACUCCGGCGACCCCGACAACAACCAUGGAAUUAGGGUUUAGGGUCCCGGGUUGGGAUGGGGGUGAGAGGGGGGUUGGGGGGAGGUGGAAGAGGGGGGAUCGCCGGGCUUAGAGGGAUGGCCGUGGGAGGCGGCGGCCCGGCGGUGGGCGGUGGACAUGGGCGGGCGGCGAGGUGCCGGUGGCGGCGCCGAAGCCGCGGGGAUGGAGGAGGGCGGUGGGCCGGCGUCGGCGGCGGGGGCAAACGGCUAGGAGACGGCGGAUCUGGCGGCUAGUGGUUAGGAGGCGGUGGCUAGUGGUAGCGGAUCCGGCGGCGGGAAGCCGCCGGAGACGGGGAAGACGGCGGGGCGGGGGCACUCGCGUCGUCUGUUGGGGAAGAGAGGGGGUAGGGGGUAGGGGAGAAGGCCGGCCGGGGGAGGGGAGGAAGGGGGCUCGCCGGUGCCGUUGACCCCUUCUGGCCAGCCGGCGAGUCCGGGCAGUGGCACGUGGGGCGGCGGCGGAGGCAGCCCGCAUGUGAGAGAGAUGCGGCAGCAGCCUGGAAUGACGAGGGGAGGGAGAGGGGUUAGGGUUAGAACUGCAGCACGAAUCUUAAAGCGAUCCAACGGUCUAGAAUUCGCAUGAUUUGUGAGGUGUUUUUCUGUCAAAUGCCAUCUAGACAGCCCCCAUAACAUAAUCAUCUACUUCCUCCGUCCUAAAAUAUAAGGGAUUUUAAAUGGAUGUGAUAUAUCCUAUCUAGAUUCAUGAUCAUAUAUCACAUCAUCUAAAAUCUCUUAUAUUUUAAUACGGAGGGGGUAUUAGCUUAAAAAAUUAACCCAUGUCAUCUAUAGAAUAUUUACCUAUAGAUACAUAUUACACCACUAAUGCAUACCUCACAUUUUUAUCCCACAUAGGUUAUUGGAACUCAUGGUGCAGCUGGCUAUAAAUUUGUAGUCUGUUUUUUCUCUCUCCUCCACGUAAGUAUAAAUAUGAUGUGGCAAUAUGUAGAGCUCGCUUACAUCAUCUUAUUGUACUCGCUUUGAUAAACACUCUCAUGGUAAUAUUUGUGUUUUGCAAAAUGAAAAAUACAUUAUUCCCAACUUCUAAUAUAUUUUUACUCUAACGGUCUGUUUAGUUCCCAAAUAAAAUUUUCACGCUAUCACCUCGAAUGUUUAAACACAUGCAUGGAGUAUUAAAUGUAAAAAAAACUAAUUACACAGUUCGCCAGGAAAUUGUGAGAUAAAUCUUUUAAGCCUAAUUGCGCCAUGAUUUGAUAAUAUGUUGCUAUAGUAAACAUUUGCUAAUGUUAGAUUAAUUAGGCUUAAUAAAUUUGUCUCGCAGUUUCCUAGUGGAAUAUGUAAUUUGUUUGUUAUUAGACUACGUUUAAUACUUCAAAUGUGUGUCCAUAUAUCCGAUGUGAUAUGUAGGGGUAAUUUUUUUUCCCAACUAAACAGGCCCUAACUUUGAUUUAUUUGAAAUUCCUCUGUUCCUAGAUAAAGUCUCACUCCACGUAGCAUAAAUCAUAGAACAACCUACCUACGUAAUAAUUGAGUUGAUGGAUUUAUUUGGAAACCAGUACCAUAUAUGUACUACAAAAGUACGAACCAUGAGCAAUGGGAUCCACCACCUCCCAAAGAUUCCUCUUGUUGGGAUAAUUUCCAUUCACAAGUGAAGUAACAUAACUUAUGGAUUUGAUGAAACCAAAUUAAAGGGAAAUUGUGUUUAUUUUUUCUGCAAAAAAAGAGAGAGAGAAUCAUUGGAGCUGGCGCUGUUUUUUUUAGUAAAUUUCACAAAACUACAGGUGCUUUGUUUAAAUUAUUCCAAAACUACAGAUUUAAGGUGAUGUAUCACAGAACUACAGAUUUAACAAUAAAUUUAUCACAAAACUAUAGGUUUAAGACUAAGUAUCGCAAAACUACAUAUUUAAUAAUAAAAUUAUCACAAAACUACAGAUUUUAGGGCUUAAAUCCUUAGUACUAAUGUUAUGUUGGACAUAUAAUUGUUCAAGUAAUGUGAUUAAAUUAUCAAUAAACCUGUAGUUUUGUGAUAACUUUGUUACUAAAUAUGUAGUUUUGUGAUAUUACAUCUUAAAUCUAUAGUUUUGUGAUAAAUUUAGCAUUAAACCUGUAGUUUUGUGAUAAAUUGAUCAAAAUACCUGUAGUUUUAUGAAAUUUACUCUCUUUUUUUUUGCCUGUGGAAACUUUUAUUAUUCUAGAAGAUUAGUUGCACUGUUGUUAUUGUCACAUUUCUUGAUAUGCAAGCUCUGUAGGGAUGAACACCAAAAGCUUUAUUGUUAUCACCAUCACAAUUUUUUUCAAUUCUUUUUGGUACAACAAAAUCGGAUCAUGACUUGGGAGGAUGUUUCUUUUCCAUGUUUCCCCUUUUAGUGAUACAAUACUGUUUGGCCAUGAUAUAAGCCAUGCAUGCAUGAUAGUACAGCCACUUAUUUCUUGUCUCAGCAGAAAUAGGAAAUAUGGUAAGCUCAAAAUGAAAUCUUAUUAAAAUGUUAUACUAGAUUUCUAAGAUAGAGAGAGACAAUUGUAGUAAAUCCAUUUAAACUAAGAGGAACUGUAUAUCAACAAGCUUUUCUUGUUCUCAUUUAUCCCUUGAACAAAACUACAAACUUUUCUGCUUCUACUACCAACAAAGUACAUUGUCUAAUCUUACACAAAUAAGAGAAUAUAAAAUAAGGCUCCUUGGAUCAAAAGAUUUUUGAAGGAAUUUUAUUGGAAAAGAAUCCUAUGAAAAACUUGCCAACAAAAGGAAUGCCUUAGAAAUAGCCAAAAUCAGGAUUAGUAACAUGAGGUUCAACCUCAUGAAAAUAUUUGUGUCUAUCUGUAUCCCUCUCUUGUGCUCCAUCCAAAUGACUACUCGUGUAACUUUUCCGUGCUUUAUCAUUCAUAAGAUGUGAAGUGCUAAGACAUUCUACUCCUGUAUUUUUUUUAUUCCCUGUUUUGAGAAUCCUAUGUUCUAAAAUGUGCCAUAAGAGCAUGCUGCCUAUCUUUGCACACACAAAAAUCUUAUCAAAAUAACAAUAAAAAAAGAACAAGUUGGCAUGAAAAUGGGAGAUUGAGGAAAUGUGCUUCAUGCUAGCUUGUAGAAGGAGCAUUAUAAGAGGAAGGACCACAGACAGAAAAAGAUAAGAUGGUGGGCAUCGGCUAAUAUCUGUCCAUGCAAAUAUGCAAUGCAUGUCCAGCAGCAUGUGCACACAACCAUAUCACACGGGUGUGUAGCUGCAGGCCGAGCCUACCACCAAACACCAGCAGCAGGCAGCAGCAACUGGGGACUGAUCAAGCUAAGGUGGUGUUUGGAUCCAGGGACUUAACUUUAGUCCUUGUCUUUAGACACUAAUUUAGAGUAUUAAAUAUAGACUACUUACAAAACUAAUUACAUAAAUGAAAGCUAAUUCACGAGACAAUUUUUUUAAGCCUAAUUAAUCCAUAAUUGGAGAAUGUUUACUGUAGCAUCACAUAGGCUAAUCAUGGAUUAGUUAGGCUCAAUAGAUUCGUCUCGCGAAUUAGUCCAAGAUUAUAGAUGGGUUUUAUUAAUAGUCUACGUUUAAUAUUUAUAAUUAAUAUUCAAACAUCCGAUGUGAUAGGGACUCAAAAGUUUUAGUCCCAUCUAAACAGGGCCUAAGCCAAGUGGUUGCAGGCUGCAAUAUAUAUCAUCUUCAUUUUCUUCUCUUUCUUUUGGCCAUCAACUGCACUCCACAACCACAAGUGGCUGCAGGCUGCAAUAUCAUCUUAUUUUUCUUCUCUUUCUUUUGGCCAUCAACUGCACUCCACGAUCACAAGAGGGGGAGAGGAGCAAAGGCAACAAGACGAGCAUGCAGUGCAGCAGAGAGAGCUGCAUGGAUGCAUGUGAGAGCAUGUACAAUAGCAGGCUAUAAGCCAGCUAUAAACAUAUUUUAAAGAGAUAAAAGAAGAGAGAAGAGAAGUAGGCUACAAAUUUGUAGCCAGCUGUAGCACGGACUCUAAGACGUAAUUUAUGUAUGACAAGUAAGAUCAAGUAUUAAUAGUAUAAUAAGCAACUAUUAUAUGAAUUAGCUAUUACAUUGGUUAUAGAUGAUUUGGAGCUAGUAGUUGACUAUACUAUUAAACUUGCUCUAAGAAGGAAAGGAGAUACUAUCAGGCAGGAGAUCUUCUACCUUGGAAUUAGCAAAAGCUACCCAACACCACCUGCAUUCUUAUCACAAGUUAAAGCUGCUAUACUGCAUAUGCAAUUGCAGGGACACUCCCUCUCCGAUGAAAUGAACAAAUCAACUUGUGUAGUUAAACAUUGCUGUCAUGUGCCUGAGCCUUUAAAGUAGUUAAGCUUGUAAAUGGCACUCGUGUAGAUCAGAUCAUCAGGGCCAGGGUCUGUCUGAAACUAGAGAUUCUUUAAUUGCACACAGGAAUCUUAGAAAAAUUUCGAAGGAAUCCGGCAAAUUCUUGCGUUUUAAAGGAGUCCAAUUGAACUCUUAUGAAGUGGAUCUCCUUAUGUACUAACUGGGUUCUUAUGUUUCGUUUUUGCUCAGCAUUUAGUCAUGGCACAAGAUCACACCAUGAAUAAACUUUAGCACCAAAACUGUCACUACGUUUUAGUUCAUGGCCUUUACCUGUCAGGCUUAAAAUACAGUAGUAAUCUAGAGCAAAAGGUUAAGCUGGCCAUACGAGACAAAAGAAAUAAAAAAGAUGGCCGAGUAGAGCAUCUCCAACUGUCUCUCCAAAUCCAACUCUCCAAAUAUUUAUUUGGCUAACUCUCCAUCUAAUUUGGCAAGUCAAACUCGUUGUUUACUCCAACAGCCUCUCCAUUCACCCUCUCUAUUCUAACUCUAUGACAGUGGGACCCACGUGUCAGCCUCUACAACCCUUCUUUUUCUUCCUCAUACUUCUCCAUUUUCUCUCCAUUUUCCUCACGAUCCUCUUUAUCCUCUCUGGUGGACAACGCGGGGCGAUGGCGACGACGGAUCCUCGCCGGCCUCAUCCUCCUCGACAGUUGCUGGAGGAGGAGACGGCGAGCUUCCAGUCGUCGGAGUAGCGGGAUCCGGAGGAGGCGCGCAGCGGCAGCGGGCGGCAGUGGCCACGCGCGGCGAGGCACCGCCCCGUUCGCUCCGCUCGCUGCGCUGACCAGUCGAGGUGGCCGCUGCCGGUCUCCGCUCUGCUCGCCAAGGUACCAUCUCGCUGGCGGCAAUGAAGCCGAGGCGCUCCUUCUUGACCUCUAUAAAAUCUCCAAGCGAAUCAGAUCACCGACCAGCCAUUCCCAUAUCCUCCUCCGAUUCGAAACCCUCGUCUCUCUCUCUGUGUGUGUGUGUGCCGGAUUCCAUGGUGACAGCAGGGAGCAGCCGAGGAGGAAGGGCGGGAGGGGCCGGAAUGCACUAACGGCGGUGCUGGACAACGACGCCAACAUCUCCGCCGGGAAGGCCGACGGCGACGGUGAGCUCAGGCAGAAGAUGCAAGAUAGCGACGGCGCGCCUCCUUCCCCAUGGUGGCGGCAUGCACAAGCAGAGGGAGGAAGGGCGGCCGCGGCGUCGGCGAUAUGCAAAGGGAGGGAGGGGCGGCAGGGCAGGGAUGGUGCGGCUAGUGGGGAGAGAGGAGAAAAAGUUGGUGGGGCCCACGGAUGGCCAGUGGCUAAUGGUGGCCAAAGGCUGGCUAAGUUUGGCUAGCUCGAGCCCAUGCUUGGCCAUGGCUAUCUUUUGUCAAGUGGGAUAGCCAUUCUACUGGAGUGUGGCUAUCUACUGGAGUGUAUUUUUGCUCAAAGUAGCUAAAAUUUAGUUUGGAGAGUGGAAUGGAGAGGCUGUUGGAGUUGCUCUAAAGAAAUGGCUGGAGCACAGUGACAGUUGAGGAGAACAUGCGAGGGCUCCGAGCAAUGAUCAUUUGCUUACACAUCAUCCAUAAUUUUUCUUUCCUAAGAUAGAGAUCAUUUUUUCUUACCCUAGGAUAGUGAUCUAUUUUUCUCAGUAGCUAUAUGUGCUUGGAAAUGCAGAGGAGUUGAUUGAACGAGGAACGCCAAAGGCAAGAUUCAUCUGUAUCUUUGUUAAACCUAGUAAUGGAGCCAAUGACAUUGUUGAGUAUGGAUGUACAACGGAUAGCAUUUUUCGGUGGUUGGCCACUUUUUUACAGCAUACAUACCAUAGGCAGCACUCGGGCAGUGCAACCGUCAGUGGCAGAGCUCAAGUUACAGCCCGAUCUGCUCAGGAGUUGGCUCUGCAGUUGGUUAAACCCCAUAAUUCAAACUAAUAAAAAUUUACUACUGUCAGCCGAACUAGCUAGCAUAGCAUAUUUUAGUUGUCACUACUAUAAGAAACAAAUAUAUCCUCUUUAACAUUCAGACAUUCAGAUUUGCUAUUUUUUCAUAAACUUUUCUACAAUACAAUUGUAUACAAAUCGAGUUGCAUUUUAGAAACCGUAUCAAUGUAAAAGCGUCACUUGUGAUUGAAGGGAGUGAUUUUAGGCUUUUCUACUAUAAAAAAAAAGGAACCAGUAGUUACCUCAUGAUUAAACAUGUGGGCAUCCAUCUCUCAAGCCGAUCAGACAGAUUGUCAGCGAUUAUUGUAGAUAAAUCAUCCCUAGAUGCAUGCAUUAUGCAUAGCUAGUUAGCUACAUGUCGACACAGCUAAUUAACCAGUCUGAUCGAUCCACGCCCCAAAAAAAAAAAACUCUUCGCUGGAGGCUUUUAGGCCCUCCAAUUUUGUGAGUUAUGAGGUGCAUGCUUAGCCACAGGACAAACUAAAGCUGACCUGCAUUUUAUUUUAUAUUUGUUCAGUUCAGUUGUGCAUGCAUGCAAAGAGGGAUCCUUUGAUGGCCUGAUCAGCAGUAAAUUGUUUAUAAACAUGGUUAGUAAACAAAAAAUCAUUAUAAACAAAAUGAGAUUUUUUUUUGAGUGAAGAAUAUAGGUAUACGAUAAUAUAUAAUACAUUCCACAACAGAAAAUGAAUCACACGAUCUGCCGCAUGCGGCUCGCAUGCUUAACAAACUGUGGUCGUCAUCGUAAGCUCACCACAUGUGGCUCGCAUGCUUAACUAACGGCAUAAUUAAAUCACUUGAUGAUGACGCAUAUCGGUGUUCACUAUAUAUACUAUCUACUGGUAAGUAUAUUAAAGAUAUACUUACCAGUAGAUAGUAUAUAUAGCGAACACCGAUAUACGUCGUCAUCAAGUGAUCUAAUUAUGCCGUUAGUUAUUUAAGCAUGCGAGCCACAUGUGGUGGGCUUAUGAUGGCAACCAUAGUGAAUAUUGAACAAGUUGGCAACUCACGAGCCAUCCUCUGUGUCCUUGAUGUCCAUCUUUGUUGAGCACCUUGACUGCAACAGGUAGUGACUUCAGACCAACCCUGACAUUCUCAUCUAUGUAGCCCUUGUAAACAGUCACAAACCCUCCUUCACCAAGAAGGUAGUCAGCACGGAAGCUUUUUGUGAUGGUCUCAAGUUCAAACAAUAAGUCAAUCACAUCGUUGUAUAUGGAGAUGUUCUUGGCAUCUUCAACUUCAAUUUUCCUAGGUGUUGAAGGAUCACUCAUAUCUGAUGAGAUGCGGGUGUGCUUCCUCUCUGCAACAGCAUUCUUGACAGGAUGUUGUAGC